AUGCUUGCUUCGGCAGCACAUACACUGAAAUUGGAAUGAUACAGAGAAGAUUAGCUUGGCCCCUGUGCAAGGAUGACAUGCAAAUUUUUGAAGCAUUCUAUAUUUUU
ensembl:snRNA U6 U6 spliceosomal RNA